UUCUAACAUCUUUCUUGGCAGAACAAUCACUUCUCCGUUCACCCCAGCUCCCCACCCCGCUAGAUCUACAAAGCUGCCAUCUGGCUGUUCGGCUUGUACUGAAGCUUCUCAUAAUCUGGAGGCCUCCCAAAAGAGAAGCAGCGUGAUGUAAGUCUUUAAAGACAUCUUCUCAUAUGGUGUGGAAAAGUAUGGUUUUAAAGUUAUGCCUCCAUAGCAGCAGGCCUAGAAGCGACAGUAAUCAAGUCUGGAGCCCACCUCCAGUCUCAUAUGGCUCUUGAACUUGACAUCACUGAGCACUAGAAUCCACUGGCAGCUGAACUACUCUGGAGCUGGUAGGAUACUGAACAUCUCCCACUGAAGGCAGAGCAAGUGAAGUCACAGGUAGGUCAAGUACACCUAUAUACAGUGCAUAAAUUGUAUUUUGAAGGGUAGCAUAGUUGAANGAACUGAGUGCUAGAGUAGAACCUAGGAGGUUCAAAUCCCCAGUCAGCUAUGAAACUACACAGGGUGACUCUGAAUUGCUCAUUGUCUCACAGCCUAAUAUACCUCUCAAGGUUGCUGUAAAGAUAAAAUGGAAGAGAGGAGAAUAGUGUUUGAUAUCAAGGGUGUGCUCACACUUUGGCCUAGUAAGCACUUUGUUGAGGCCUGAGUGCCUGAG
rnacentral:lncRNA from 1 species